UACGUAGGUGACAAGCGUUGUCCGGAUUUACUGGGCGUAAAGAGCGCGCAGGCGGUCGUUCAAGUCGAGUGUGAAAGCCCCCGGCUCAACUGGGGAGGGUCAUUCGAUACUGAUCGACUCGAAGGCAGGAGAGGGAAGUGGGAAUUCCCGGGUGUAAGUGGUGAAAUGCGUAGAUAUCGGGGAAGGAACACCAGUGGCGAAGGCGGGUCACUGGGCCGGUA
rnacentral:rRNA from 1 species